GCUCCUCCUGCCUGCCGUUUCAGUGGUGCUGUCCGGACCCCUCGCCAGCUUUACAUCUGUCAGCCCUCCAGUUACUCAGCCACCUGUUUCCAUCAGCGAGUUACGGUCACAGAGUUCCCUCAUCACUCAUUCUCCCCGAAUAGGUCUCCCCAACUAAACGUCAUUCCAGCUCUGACGUUCAGACCUUGCCUGUCACACACACUGUGUGCUUUCCCGUUAUUGAGCCUUAAAUCAAGGAGCUUUCACCUUGGGCUUUAUAAGGAGUUCAGAGACAGCUGAAAAAAAAUCAGCAAUUUCCCUCUGGGAUUAUUAAAUUUGUGCUUGGAUCCACUCACCUGUCCUGAAGCCCUGUCCGAAGAAUCAGACCAAUGGAACCCACAGCUCAGAUUUUGCUCUGGCUCUCCCCCUCAUACUCCCUUGGCAUUACCAAGUCAGGCCUGAGGUCCCCUUCCCGGAUUCCACUGGCGCAUCUGAACUCUGGUUAACCUGUCUGUCGCUCCAGUCUGUUGAGGCUUGCUCCGGAUCUCUCGCCUGCUCCAUUUGCCGCCCUCCAGCCACUAACCACCUACUCAGUCAAGGGGUAAACUAACGGAGUUCCCUUGACACAACUCCCCCGGUUAGGUCUGCCCAGCUUAAUGUCUCACCACCCCGACGUUCAGGCCUCGCCCGAGCUACUUGUAGCCCCGUCCCUGGGGUCCGCAC